AGAUAUAUUCGCAUGAAUUCAUUCUACUAAUUCCCUGUUAGCUACGCCCGUCGAUUCGGCUGUAUACAAAAGCCUAAGUCUGUGCAUGCCUCCAUCUUGGAUUUCCGAGUUAUUUAAUUUGGGCGUCUGAGGUAUCGGCCAGAAUUUUCUACCUAGGAUUAGCGGGUGAAUCUGUUUCAUGCACCACAGGCCGGUUCCUUGCUGAGCUGACAAAGCAAGUGUUUGCUGAUCUUGCUUGUAUUAACUAUCAGUUUCCACUGCAGCUCCUACUUGAUAUGAAGUUGGGCUGAACUAUCUUGAACAACAGCCCCAGUGUGGGCUUAUAUUGGACUGGUCAUCAUUUGAAAUCAUCUGCUGUAUUACUGAUUGGAACUUGACGUUGGAAAAAUGCUGGAGUAGGAAAUCUUAGUCAAUCUUGAACCUAGUUGGCUACGUCUUCCAAUGUGGCCACAACUAGGCAUCAAAGUGGUUGUGCCUCAUAUGUGUUGGGGACAAUUUGGUGAUGCUGGUGGGAGCCCUCCG